rnacentral:rRNA from 1 species
AACGAACGCUGGCGGCAUGCCUAACACAUGCAAGUCGAACGAGACCUUCGGGUCUAGUGGCGCACGGGUGCGUAACGCGUGGGAAUCUGCCCUUGGGUUCGGAAUAACAGCGAGAAAUUGCUGCUAAUACCGGAUGAUGACGUAAGUCCAAAGAUUUAUCGCCCAAGGAUGAGCCCGCGUAGGAUUAGCUAGUUGGUGAGGUAAAGGCUCACCAAGGCGACGAUCCUUAGCUGGUCUGAGAGGAUGAUCAGCCACACUGGGACUGAGACACGGCCCAGACUCCUACGGGAGGCAGCAGUGGGGAAUUUUGGGACAAUGGGGGCAACCCUGAUCCAGCCAUGCCGCGUGAGUGAAGAAGGCC